CAAAACACACAUACUAACACACCUUCAAUUUCACAUACUCACAAGUCAUAACAAUAAUAAAUGGACCUAAAAAGAAAGUCCAUGUCCAGUACUACAACUUUUAAUAUUUUUGGUAUUCAUAUUUUCUUGUCAAUGAACCUUAUCACUUAUUAGUCUAAAUACCAAUCCCCAAACGACCCAAAAAUAUCAUAACAAAGGUCCAGUUUGGUUUUAUCGGGUUCAAGCCCAAUUCUCUUUCUCUCUCCUGUCUCUCUCUCUCCCCUUUCUCUCCUUUCUCCCUCUCCGACUGAAACCCUAGAUCUGGUUCACUAUCGGAGACUGAAAAUUCCGGUAAGCUCCAUUUCAUUAUCUGGGUUAUGCUCAAAUUCGAGUUAUGUUAUCUGGGUUUUGCUCAAAAUUGAAUUUUCGCAUCUGGGUUUUGCUCAAUAUCGAAUUUUGUUAUCUUGGUUUUGCUCAAAAUCGAAUUUUGUUAUAUGGGUUUGCUCAAAAUCGAAUUUUGGUUUUUGGGUUUUGCUCAAAAUCGAAUUCUGAUAUUUGAGUUUCACUCAAAAUCAAUUUUUUUACUUCAGGUAUAGUACCCUUUUCUCUCCCCUUUCUCCCUCCUGCUGAAACCCUAGAUCUGGUUUACUAUCGGAGCCUGAAAAACCCG
rnacentral:lncRNA from 1 species